rnacentral:misc_RNA from 1 species
UUAGUUGAGUUGAGUUGAGUUUUUUACUUUUUAACUAUAAACUAAUAUAAAAUAUCCCAACUUGCAGAAGUUUUAUUGCACCCACUAAAAUAAUUAUUAGAAUCAUUUAAAAUUAUAAUGCGUAGUAGUAAACGUUAAUCAUCUUUUACUAUCAAAAGGCUUUUUUUCUUAAAUGCUACAAUAACCUUGCAACAUCGAAUGGGUAG